rnacentral:rRNA from 1 species
CCUACGGGUGGCAGCAGUGGGGAAUAUUGCACAAUGGGGGAAACCCUGAUGCAGCGACGCCGCGUGAGUGAAGAAGUAUUUCGGUACGUAAAGCUCUAUCAGCAGGGAAGAAAAUGACGGUACCUGACUAAGAAGCCCCGGCUAACUACGUGCCAGCAGCCGCGGUAAUACGUAGGGGGCAAGCGUUAUCCGGAUAUACUGGGUGUAAAGGGAGCGUAGACGGCAGCGCAAGUCUGGAGUGAAAUCCCAUGGCUUAACCAUGGAACUGCUUUGGAAACUGUGCAGCUAGAGUGCAGGAGAGGUAAGCGGAAUUCCUAGGGUAGCGGUGAAAUGCGUAGAUAUUAGGAGGAACACCAGUGGCGAAGGCGGCUUACUGGACUGUAACUGACGUUGAGGCUCGAAAGCGUGGGGAGCAAACAGGAGUAGAUACCCGAGUAGUC